GAUCGAAAAACAGAGAAAAAAAUUUUCCCAAAACUUUUUAGAAAGACCCCUUUCACUUUUCUUCACAGUUUUUGAGCUCUCUGUGUUGCUGAACAUGGAGACCAUCUACCAAUACUCCAUCUCUCAAGUUGAACAACAAAACCAAGUUUUGCCCACAACCCAUCUCCUCGCUUGCGACUGUUUCAUCUUCCACUUAGACUUCACCCAUCAACUCAAAUUGUGCUUCCCUCAGGAUUUGAACAUACCCUUGAACUCAAUUCAAGAAUCCUUCUUUGUACCCUUUGAUGUGUUUUUCUCACACACCCAAGAAACCAUCCAAACGGUACUAUCUGGCUCUGGUGUUUCAAUGGACUUUGUUCAUGUCCUGCUGCCUGAAGUUCAUUCUUUUGCUAUGGACGUUGCCCAGGAGCCUGCAAAUGCUGGACCCAGAAUAGUCCCAUUGAUUUUGGCUGUUCUUGCUGUGACACCUUUUGAUGACCGUGACCAAAUUGAGAGGGCUAUAAUGGAAUCUGGGCAAGUCUUUAAUCCAGUUCCGGCUGCCAAAUCCUCCAUUGCGGGGCUCAAGAAGGUCAAGAUUGACAAUUUGAGCGUGACAAAGGAAUGUAGCAUCUGUUUGGAAGAGUUCUCUGCUGGGUUGGAGGUUGUGCUCAUGCCCUGCUCUCAUCUUUACCAUAAAGAUUGCAUUGUUGAAUGGCUGAAAAGAAGUCAUCUGUGCCCCUAUUGCCGCUUCAAAUUGCCAACUUGAUUGCAUUGAAUUAUCUCAGUGUGUGUUGAAUUGGAUUGCCAAAGUUGCCACAUCUCGUGGUGCAUACAGCAUAUUGGCUGUGUACAUUCAAGAACAAGUUUGAUGGGUUGAUCACAUUCAAGGAUUACACGCUUAUCAAGACUAUAAUGGAAAUUGGGGUGUUUCCUAGAUCAAGAUGAGCUUCUUGUACUGAAGAUUAAGAAGGGAACUUGUAUGGCAAUGCACAGGCUAGUUACUUUGAAUAUCUGAUUGAGAGGAAGAAGCAACAUGUUCUGAAAAUUGCACAUCAGAUGCGAAGGGGUACGUUCAGCACAGAUCAUGAAGUGCUGAUGAAGCUGAAAGCACUCGUGCAUUCGCCUUUUAAAUGCAAAAAACAUGGACAAAGUUCGGCUCCUGUGAUGAUCCUUGUCCAGUGAACACAAACAGUUUCUAUUUUUUCGAAACAGGUGGCUCUUUGAGCCUUGUUUGAUCUGCUGGUUACAACAAGAUCAGCCAUGCUCUAUUUAGCACUGCUUUAGUCUGCAGUUGGCUUCCCAGUUCUUGUGUUAUUUGCGGGGUUUUGGUUCUAGUCCCCCUCAUUGUAUUCUUUUUUUAAAAAUGGUUUAUUAAUAAAAUGGAGGGAUGGGCGGGGGGCUCCCAAAAGUGUAGGUCCCCUCUCCUUCGGGAUUGAGGGUGGACGCUUGCGUCUUGUGACCUUCACUGAGGAGCUAAUCUCGCCUAAUCCUCUAGUAG